ACUACAAUGAAUCGAGAAGAAGGUUUAAAAGCUUUGGAAACAUCUAUCAAAGUCAUUGAAGAAGUCAUUAUGAACAAGAAAGGAACAUUUGUUUUACAACAAGCUGAUCACCGGAAAUCUUCGGCUCGUGGUCGAUGGUAAUUAUCGGAAUUACCGGAAAAACUACGUCAGAGGUCUGGUACCGACGCGAUUCUUGUCAUUUCAUUCUGGAUAGUACGCCGUCCAUCAAAGCUCCUCAGUUCGUAGAUAUAUAAAAAUUGCCAAAUACCAGCUGUUAUCCUUCUGUAAAAAAUGUCUCCUUGUUUAUCAAAAUCAAUAAUGAGAGACGUCUACUCCAUUUAUCCACAAAAGAAUAAUGCUGUACCACAUUACAA